rnacentral:lncRNA from 1 species
GGAUUAUUCUUCUUACUAUUUGCAUAGCAAUCCUCCUUAUAAUUAUUUGUGGAAAAAUAUGAGAAAAGAACUCAGUCUUAUCAUUUUAUACCUCUUCCUUCUGGCCUUGCCCCAUACUGAUGGAGUCAUCUUAAGUGCAUUCUACAGAAUUCUGAUGAAAAUCAUGGAAUUCCAUGACACGAAGAACUUGGUGACAAUUAGCUUCAUGUUCUUGACAAAAGAAUGCUUGUUCAGCACAUAGAUGGGGCUAAUGAUGGGCAAGUUUGGAUUCCCUUAUCAAUACUGAAGUGCAACUUCUCCUUAGUGAACAUAUCCUGCAGCCAUUCUUCAAUGAUCUCUGGAUAUCUAGAAGUCUACUGGCCCGCCAAGUUCAACCUGCCCUCUCUUAUUUUCCUAUUGAUGAUACCAAAAUCCAUUCAGUUAUAUGGACUACAGAAUUGAAGUCUCUCUGAGUCCCACAUCAGACAUGACCAGAUUCCAUUGGAUAUUUCUUGGCCAUCCUUUAAUAGGCUGUUGUUUUCUUUCCCACUACUACCAUCUUAGGUAAGACUCUCUUAUCUCUCAGCUGUGCCAAUUCUAUAUGCUCAGAAACAUCUCCCUGUGUCUAUCAUUCACUCAACUCUGCCUCAAUUCACAAUCCUGCUGGCAAACCCAGUCCUAUUUUCUUCUGUUUCAAAUGCUUCACUGACACUUCAUAGGCAUUUAGGCCUAGUUCAAAUGCUGUAAGAGGUUCCUGACAUUCAACUCUUACCCAUUCAUGACCUAUUUUAGCUUGCAUCUCCUACACUGCCCCAUCUUGCACAUUAUGCUUUAAAAAUACCAAGCCUCUUAUAGUAUCCUAAACAAAAUUUCUAUACCAUGCCUUAAAUGCAUUUACCCAGACUUUUAUUUCUACCAACAUUCUGUUUCAUCUCUCCAGAGAGACUAUUAUUCAUCUUCUGAAUUCAGCUUAAAUGUCCUCUUAUCCAGGAAUCACUUUUUAAUAUUUCCCUCUAAGAAUUACUCACUUCCUAUGAGCUGCCUUGGAUGUUUAUUUAUAUUUCUAUUGUACUUUACUUAUAAAUUCGUUUCUCCCUCUAGGCUAUGAGCUCUUUAAGAACAGAGCCUGGGGUUUACUCAUCUCUGUUGUCCUACAGACAAGCACAGAACCUGAUGCACAGUGAUUGUUUAUAGACACUGUUUCUUUGAAUGGCGG